GACGAACGCUGGCGGCGUGCUUAACACAUGCAAGUCGAACGGAAAGGCCCUGCUUGCAGGGUACUCGAGUGGCGAACGGGUGAGUAACACGUGGGUGAUCUGCCCUGCACUUCGGGAUAAGCCUGGGAAACUGGGUCUAAUACCGGAUAGGAGCCAUUUUUAGUGUGAUGGUUGGAAAGUUUUUUUCGGUGUAGGAUGAGCUCGCGGCCUAUCAGCUUGUUGGUGGGGUAAUGGCCUACCAAGGCGGCGUCGGGUAGCCGGCCUGAGAGGGUGGACGGCCACAUUGGGACUGAGAUACGGCCCAGACUCCUACGGGAGGCAGCAGUGGGGAAUAUUGCACAAUGGGCGCAAGCCUGAUGCAGCGACGCCGCGUGGGGGAUGACGGCCUUCGGGUUGUAAACUCCUUUCGCUAGGGACGAAGCUUUUUGUGACGGUACCUAGAUAAGAAGCACCGGCUAACUACGUG
rnacentral:rRNA from 1 species